rfam:Folsomia candida strain VT population Fcan01_Sc019, whole genome shotgun sequence.
UGUAAUAUAGCUUAAGUAAAGCAUUUCAUUUACACUGAGCUGAUUUAGAAUUGACUCUAAUAUUAUAA